AGACCCUUUUACUAGCCAUGAGCCCAGCCAGCAGAAGGUGGUGUGCUGCUAAAAUCCUCCUGUUCCUGGCAAAGGGAAAAAACCUGUGUAGCUCAAACCCGAGAAGGCUGACCCAAGCAACGGCAGCUGAAGAUGCCUCUGGAAACACACACACACCUGAGGCCUGAUCCUGCCUUCCCCUGGCCAAGUCAAUCUCAGAUGCUGCAAACCAUGUGCAGAUGAGGCUCAGCCAUGCGAGAAGCAUUCCCACAUCAGAGUGUUCAGCAUAAAUCAGACUUUCACAGCCGCCUUUGAGUAGAAGGAGCAAGAAAUCACGUUUUGUCUCCUGUCCAGGAGCUCUGGGAGAAAGGAGCUGUCAGGAACCAGCCCAGAUCCUCUGACAUGUGCUCUGUGCAUCCUCGCUGCCUGGCUCUGCCUUCCCCCAUCUGGUGUAACGGCUCCGUCAGCUCCUGUGUGCUGCCUUCCCCAGCCGAGAUCCCAGCCAGGCUGCUGACAUCCAAGUCAAGCUGUGCCCCAAGCAAGGGACACCGUGACUCCUUUUGGGCUGGGCUAUGCUCUCCCCGGCCUCUCACCCAAGCCAUUAAGCGGGUUUUAACACAGAUCCAGAUCUGGCGUAGUGCCCUGCUGAGACCACUUGCACCCCCCUGGUGUCAUAUCUUUAGGCUCUUUUUUUCUCUAGAGGAUUGGCCCAGAGAAGUCACAUGCUUUUCUAACUCUCUUGUCAUUAGUCUCACUAGGAACUAUUUUCCUAAUAUCUAGGUAGAAUUUCCCUUGCUGUGCCUUGUGUCCAUUGCCUCCCAUGCACCUCCAGGAAGAGUGCGGCUCUGUUUUCUCUAUAAUCACCUGUUAGCCUUCUCCUCUGGCCAAAGGAGCCCAGCUCCCUCCACAUCUUCCAAUUUGGCAAAGUACCGCUAAUUUUUCUUGUACUGCUUCAUAAACAUUUGAGGGGGAGGGGCGAGUUCCCACAAACACUACAUGGGGCAUCUACGCCCAAGCAUGUCCUGACAAGUAGGGAGGGCUUUGGUGGAGGUGGCUGCAGAAAUCCUACCAGCACCUGCAGUGGAGUUGAGCAAGGGACCAAAAGCUCCAUUGCUGAUCCUGUUGAAACAGAGGGUUAAAGCCUUUCUGCUGGAGCCAUUCCCUGCUAGUGAGGUCCAUACAGUCCAUUAAAAUUAGGGAUCUUAUUAUGGGCUAUAUAAAAAAGGUAAAGAGGAAAUGAAAACCUUAUGAAGGGUUUCUUAUGUGUGCAGAUGGCAAGGGCACCUGAGGCCAAGAAAGCCUCUCCAACAGGCUUUUUCCAAACAGAACUGCUCACUUCGCAGGUUUUCCCCUCUUUCAAAAAGAGAUAAAUAGACGCAGGACUAUCUUUUCUGCACAGCUCACCCCUGCUGACCAGCCACACUGUCCUCGGGAUGGAGAAACAGACCCUAAACAUGUGUCAUGCUCUCAGGAGCAUGGUAUCCUCUCCUCCUAGCACCAAAUGCAGCCUUCAAAUGCACUUUUAGGUCAUACUCAGGUCUCUCCUGAACCCAAAGGAGCUGACUGUGUUUGCUGCUUCCCCCAGCCUAGUUGAGGACUGGUGAGACAUCCUCUGUCCAUCAGCACAGAAGAGCUGUUUGAGUCUAUUGAGUAGCAUCAGGAGCACUGAGAGCCAGUCAAAACUGGGAAUUCAGCCUUCCAGCAGUGGCACUGGGCCACUGCUCUGCCUCUGUUUCAAGACAGCAGAAACCAGGGACCUCAAAUAUGGGAAGGGCUUUGGGUCUGUAGCAGAACCAGAGACCCUAGGAGUCUGGGCAUCCAUUUGUUCACUAUGACCACCUGCUGGGACAUUUUUUCCCUUUCUCCUCCUGUCCCCACCCACCGUGUGUGGCUGUGCUGUCACGUGGUGGUGCCAGAGUGAGACAAGGUCCCAGAGCUGCUCUCUGAACCUGUAGGAUCCUGUGGGACCCCUUGGCCACCCCCUUGGGUCCUGUCGGGGCCCCAGAGUGACUGCAGAGGCUGGAAGUGUCCCUGGUGCAUGAUCCUUGUUUAUACAGAGCAUAAUCUCUCUAUAGAGCUGUAGGGGAGUGAUUUUUGUCUCCCUGUGCAGGCUAAGAGCUGAAGCACGGUGACAUGACCAAGGUUGUUCAGACAACCUGUGGCAGAGCAAGAACAGCAGCCCAGCGGUGUCAUGCGCCCUCGUCACUGCUGCUCAUCACUGCUGCUCGGUGGCAGAUCUCUGGCCUCCUUGUCCCCCCAGCCGCCCAGCCAGCCAGCCCACUCCUUUCUCCUUCAGACUCUUAAAGACUUGCAAAGGCUCGAGCGUGGUUUCAUUUUCACUAAUAAAUCCCUGCUUGCACUUGAAGCUGCUGUGCC